rnacentral:lncRNA from 1 species
UUUACUCAUAUCUACUCUAUAAAGAGAGUGUUGUCUUGAGUGCUAAGUGUUUGUACACACUUGAAGGGAUAUUCUAAUCCAUUUUGUAAGAAGGAAAAGUAGUUCCUUGGUUUGAAGUCUUGAGGUGCGGUAUCCUCGAGCAGGUUGAAGUCUUGUAGAGUGUAUAUCUACCAGCAAGUGUAACGGUUUGUUAGGCACCCGUAAGCUUAACGAAGUUAGUGUAAAACUCGAGAGAGUCUCUCGGGGACUGGACU